UCAUGAAGCAUUAUUAACUAUUUACCAAUCACUUAAUCCUGCAUUAGUUAUUAGCUCAUCAAUGAAUCUCAAUUCAAUCUCUAGGCAUACAUGUUGUAAGCCACAUCACAAGAGAUAAUAACAUACAUGCAUAAGAAUAAUCAUAUGGCCCAUAACGAUAUUAGCCGACAUAGGCCAAUUUACAUGACUAAUACUACCUUAAUAACAAGCCAAUGCCUUUGGCUAAAUCAUAAUAUUACAUACUCACAUUAAAACCCUAUACAUGCCAUAGACUAGAAUCACUUGAGUUUACUUACGCCGAUAGCGUUAACUCGACAGUGUGAUAAUAUCUCUAACGGCCUUCAACCCGAGCUAACCUGGAAACUCUAGAAAACAUGGGAAAGAAGGGGGGUAAGCUUUCGCUUAGUAAGUUCAUAUGAAAACAAUAAGCAACUCAUUAACUUGUUUUAUCAAUGUUUACAACAUAUUCUCAAGUUCACUGCAAGCUGUCUUCCUGAGCAAUAGUCACUAAAUUAUUUAUAUCUGGAGCUACGAAACUCCAAAUUAAGUUCCGUUAAUUUUUCCUGAAACUAGACUCAUUUAUCUUUCUUUCAUAAAAUUUCCAGAAUUUUUGACUUAGCCAAUUAGUACAGUUUACUCCUCAAGUUUGCUCCUGAUUCACUGUCUCACAGUUUCAACCCUUCUGCACUAAAGUUCAAUUAUCUCAUAGUACAGGAUUCGAAUAAUGUUCUCGUCUAUUUAUCUUGAAAUUAUACUCAUAUGUAUACUUACUAAUUUUUUUCUAGAAUUUUUGGUCAAGCCAUUUAGUACAGUUUAUUAGUUAAAGUCUCCCCUGUUUCAGGGUAUGACCACUCUGACCCUUGUGUACUACGAACCGAAUUUCUCCCUGUACAAAAUUCCAACGACGAUGCCAUUUUUUCCCUUAAAAAUAGACUCAAUAAGGAAUCCAUGCAAGUAAGGUAUGACUCUUAAUAAUUUUUUUACAAUUUAUGAUGAAUUUCUAAAGUUAGAAUAGGGGAUCUCGAAUUCAUUCAGAUCCUGUUUUACAAGAAUUCAAAUAUCACACAAUAUAGAAUUCUUUUUCUUCCUCUGUUUCUUUCAUGUGAAAAUAGACUCAUUAAGCUUUAAUCUCAUUUUUUAUUCUGCCUCUAACUAAUUUUCCACUAUUUUUAGUGUAUUUUCAAAGUUACAUUACUAUAGUAACUCAAAUUUGUCAAUGCUAAGUUACUCAUUCAUGAUCAUUGUUCACAAAAUUAAUACAACAUCAUUUCAUCCAUCAUGGUAAGAACACAUAUUAUGCAUCAUAGAUCAUCACAUAUCAAGGCAUUCUCAUAGGCUUAAUAUACAUACUUGCACAACUCGUAACAUAACUCAAGUGUAUACUCACCAAUGACUUACCUCGUUGGGACCAUCAUCAACUCUUUCCUUGGAUUACCCGUUGAACACUUGGAAUACUAAUUGGAUACUCGGAAAAGCCUUUGCACAUAAGUGCCUCAAUUGUAGCUAAAGCUACCUCAUAUCUCAUGACAUUUCAAUGCUCACUCUCGAGCUAGUCAUCUAGACUUAUAAUUUCUAGUGACAUGUCACUCGUAUCCUAUUCUAUUUCUAAGGUUCAAACGGGAUUUUUCCUCAUCUAUUAAGGCUUUGUCUUAUCAUAUUUCUAUUAAUCACAUACACUUAAUAUUUGUACAAUUCAUGUAAUGAUAACAUUUAAAUACAUGUAUAGCAUGGUAUUGUUUACAUACAAACUUACCUCGAUACCACAAAGGUGAAAAGGACAUAAUCAUCCCUUAAUCGAUUUCUUUCCGUUCUAGGUUCAAAUCUCGAUUUUCUUGAUCUAUAAUAUCACAUUUAGCCUACCAAUCAGUCACAAUAUUCAUAUGGGUCUAAAAAUCAUAUUUUUACAAAUUUUCAUUUUGACCCCUAAACUUUUGCAUAUUUGCACUUUUGCCUCAAUGCUCGUAAAAUAAUUUUUAUCACAUUUCUUUACUCCUUGAGUCUAGAUGAACCAUUUUCAUAACUAUAUCAACUCAUAAUUUCAACUAUUUUACACAUUACAACUUAUUUUACAACUUAGCAAUCUAGCCCUUUUUUAAGGUGUUUUCAUGUAAUUUCUUUCACAAAAGUUGUUUAUUAGACAACUAGGACUCAUAAUCUUCCAUAAAAACACAGAAAACAACACAUUUACUCUCAUGGCAAAACCCUAGACUCUUCAUCAUUUUUCAAAAUAGUCCCCUCUUAUGAAAGCUCAUGCUUUAGGGGUUCCAAAAAUGUAAAAAUCAUCAAGCAAAGACAUUAAAAUCACUUACAAGCAAGGGAAAUAUGUUGCUGAAAUUUUCCAGCUUCAAAACCCUUUCUUUGCUGCAUAUUUCGGUGAAGGAGAAGAGAAAAAUGAUAGCUUUUUCUUUUUUAUUUGUUAACAAUAAAACUAGUCAAAAUUGGUGACCAAAUUUCACCUAAAUUUGACUUUUCAACAAUUUUGUCUCCCAUGGCCGGCCAUCACACUUUCAAUGGCCUAAUUUCACUUUAAAAACCCC
rnacentral:lncRNA from 1 species